rnacentral:tRNA from 1 species
GCUGGCGUAGCUCAGUGGAAGUAGCAUGCGUUUCAUAAGCGCAAGGUCACAGGUUCGAUCCCUGUCGCCAGCA